AACGCACAUUGCGCCCUGUGGUAUUCCGCAGGGCAUGCCUGUUCGAGCGUCAUUUAACCACUCAAGCCUGGCUUGGUAUUAGAGCACGCGGUCUCGCGGCCCUCAAAAUCAGUGGUGGCGCCGGUGGGCUCUAAGCGUAGUACAUACUCCCGCUAUAGAGUUCCUCGGUGGCCUGCCAGAACCCCCCAAUUUUUACCGGUUGACCUCGGAUCAGGUAGGGAUACCCGCUGAACUUAA
rnacentral:misc_RNA from 1 species